GGAUAGGUAAGAUUAGGUCGAGUCAUGGGUGUACAUGGGCUUGGGUUAACCUAAUCUCCCAUAGAGUUGGUCAAGGGAGUUUUGGGUUUGGGUCACUUGAUCCUGUGUUUAUAUAUACAUGUACUGUAUAUGUUUGAUUAAGCCAAGGAAUACAAAAAUUCUUUCUCCCAAGUCUCUCUCUCUCUUCUCCCUCUCUCUCCAGCUAUUCUCCACACCCC
rnacentral:lncRNA from 1 species